rnacentral:rRNA from 1 species
UACGUAGGGGGCGAGCGUUGUCCGGAAUCAUUGGGCGUAAAGAGCGUGUAGGCGGCCAGAUAAGUCCGCUGUGAAAUCUCGAGGCUCAACUUCGAGCUGUCGGCGGAAACCAUCUGGCUAGAGUCCGGAAGAGGAGAAUGGAAUUCCCGGUGUAGCGGUGAAAUGCGCAGAUAUCGGGGAAGAACACCCGUGGCGAAGGCGGUUCUCUGGGACGGUACUGACGCUGAGACGCGAAAGCGUGGGGAGCGAACAGG